AUUGAACGCAGGCGGCAUGCUUAACACAUGCAAGUCGAACGGUAACAGGUCUAGCUUGCUAGAUGCUGACGAGUGGCGGACGGGUGAGUAACGCGUGGGAAUCUGCCUUCUAGUGGGGGAUAGCCCGGAGAAAUCCGGAUUAAUACCGCAUACGCCCUACCGGGGAAGGACCGGGGAGUCUUCGGACCUGGCGCUAGUAGAUGAGCCCGCGUGAGAUUAGCUUGUUGGUGGGGUAAGUGGCCUACCAAGGCAACGAUCUCUAGCUGGUCUGAGAGGACGAUCAGCCACACUGGGACUGAGACACGGCCCAGACUCCUACGGGAGGCAGCAGUGGGGAAUAUUGGACAAUGGGCGAAAGCCUGAUCCAGCAAUGCCGCGUGUGUGAAGAAGGCCUGAGGGUUGUAAAGCACUUUCAAUCGUGAAGAAAAGUUGCAGGCUAAUACCCUNUGACCUUGACGUUAACGAUACAAGAAGCACCGG
rnacentral:rRNA from 1 species